UACGGAGGGGGCUAGCGUUGUUCGGAAUUACUGGGCGUAAAGCGCGCGUAGGCGGCUUUGUAAGUUAGAGGUGAAAGCCCGGAGCUCAACUCCGGAACUGCCUUUAAGACUGCAUCGCUAGAACGAUGGAGAGGUGAGUGGAAUUCCGAGUGUAGAGGUGAAAUGCGUAGAGAUCGGGAGGAAGGCCGGUGGCGAAGGCGGCGCUCUGGAACGGCCCUGACACUGAGGCUCGAAAGCGUGGGGAGCAAACAGG
rnacentral:rRNA from 1 species